rnacentral:rRNA from 1 species
AUUGAACGCUGGCGGCAUGCUUUACACAUGCAAGUCGAACGGUAACAGGCCGCAAGGUGCUGACGAGUGGCGCACGGGUGAGUAAUGCAUCGGAACGUGCCCAGUCGUGGGGGAUAACUACUCGAAAGAGUGGCUAAUACCGCAUACGAUCUAUGGAUGAAAGCGGGGGACCGUAAGGCCUCGCGCGAUUGGAGCGGCCGAUGUCAGAUUAGGUAGUUGGUGGGGUAAAGGCUCACCAAGCCAACGAUCUGUAGCUGGUCUGAGAGGACGACCAGCCACACUGGGACUGAGACACGGCCCAGACUCCUACGGGAGGCAGCAGUGGGGAAUUUUGGACAAUGGGCGCAAGCCUGAUCCAGCAAUGCCGCGUGCAGGAAGAAGGCCUUCGGGUUGUAAACUGCUUUUGUACGGAACGAAACGGCUCUGGUUAAUACCCGGGGCUAAUGACGGUACCGUAAGAAUAAGCACCGGCUAACUACGUG